rnacentral:misc_RNA from 1 species
AUAUAUCAACCUCUUUAGCUUUUGUUUAUUGAGUGUUGGAUGUGAGGGUCUUUUUUGCUGGUCUUUUUUAAAUCAGCUCCCUUCAAAUGCAUUAGCAGAACAAUUUGUUGAUCUUUCAUUAGUGUGAUAAUUAUCUACGCUAUUGAUGUUAAGCAAGUUCAGCUUCUAAUAAUCCAUUGACUUGGAUAAUUUUUAUUUAUUA